CGCUGCGUACCGAGCACGCGAGACCCGAUUGCUUUUAAAUAGCGAUGCAUAUUAUAUGCGAGGAAGGUCCACGCUCGCCGACCGAUAAAUUAUAGCCUUCUAUAUGCUUGCAUGCUAAACGCAAGUGAACAUUUUUCCGGUAUCGAGCUUGCGUGAAACUUUCUUCACGAAUAAUUCAUCGUGACCAUGGUACGGCAGUACUUCGCUAACUUGCUACGGGUCACGACCUUAUCUGGCCAAUUAUCAAAACAGCUAAAUUUCUAGAGAAUCCUGAGUAUCUCUAUUCUUCAUCAAACGAAGGAGGAAACGGUGCAGAAGAAGCGGCCGAGAGGAGGUGGUGGUGUUAUACACAGGAGGAGAAGGAGAAGGAGGAGGAAGAGGGAAAAAGAGAAACAGGCAUGGAGGGUCGCGGAGCACGUGAAAGGCGAUUUAAAGGGAAAAAGAAGGAGGUGGCCUUUAAAAAAAACAACGAAGGAACAUGGCGAACCGGUCGCAGCCUCCAUUCGUCAGCUGGGAGCUCAGCUGCAGCCGGGCGCGGUGACCUCGACGGAGCUUCACGGAAAACCGAGUCAAUUUGCAAGCAAUAACGGUGUCAUACCGCGCGUACUUUUCAUCGGUGAUUUAACGAGCUUUUGUAUCUUUCACGCAUACGAAAAUACUAUUACACAUUCGUGUUUCUCCACUUUCUUCUUUCUCUCAACAUUUUUUUUCUUUUGUUUUUGUUUUCUUUUUUUUGUUAUUAAAUUUGUUAUUUUUGGACAGUACAUAUACAUAUAUCGAUAGAUCGGCGAGGUACUUUCGAUCGAGUGAUCCGCCGACAUUCCGCGGAAACACGGUCAUCGGUCGCUUUACAGGUGAUCGACAGUACCCCCGACCGACUGACAGUUCAACGACAUUCGUCUUUACCACUGUACGGAAAAACGCGUUUCCCUUUGCAUACUUUGUGUAAACGCUCCUAUCGAUAUCGAUCUCGACUUCAACGAAUCGCGAAAUCAUUCAAGUUUCCCGAAACGAUCCACGUAACUUAAUUAAUCGGAUAUUCAAUUCGGCUAUGUUUAACAAAGCUUUUAUCCAUCACUCCCGAUUUUGAUCUACACUUAAAAGAGAUAUAUAGAAACAAGUAUGAUUUUAUCCUUAACUAAACACGUCCAUGAUAUAAACAGUUAAGAAUUUUCAGUUCACUCACAAUUUGUGUAACGAACAUAAGAUCCACUAACGUGUCUGUUUACUAAGCGUCGUAAGUCGUUCAUCACAUUCAAUCUUAAUAUACACUUGAAAAAAAAAAAUGUACAGAAACAUA
rnacentral:misc_RNA from 1 species